GAUGAAGAACGCAGCGAAAUGCGAUAAGUAAUGUGAAUUGCAGAAUUCCGUGAAUCAUCGAAUCUUUGAACGCACAUUGCGCCCCCUGGCAUUCCGGGGGGCAUGCCUGUCCGAGCGUCAUUUCUGCCCUCAAGCACGGCUUGUGUGUUGGGUGUGGUCCCCCCGGGGACCUGCCCGAAAGGCAGCGGCGACGUCCGUCUGGUCCUCGAGCGUAUGGGGCUCUGUCACUCGCUCGGGAAGGACCUGCGGGGGUUGGUCACCACUAUAUUUUACCACGGUUGACCUCGGAUCAGGUAGGAGUUACCCGCUGAACUUAAGCAUAUCAAAAGCGGAGGA
rnacentral:misc_RNA from 1 species